AUGUUCUCUGUAGCUCUGAUGCUGCUGCUGGCAGCUGGAUCCUGUGCUGAUAGUCAGACAUUAACAGAGUCUGAAUCAGUGGUUAAAAGACCUGGAGAAUCCCAUAAACUGACUUGUACAGUCUCUGGAUUCUCACUAAGCAGCUAUUGGAUGGCCUGGGUCAGACAGGCUCCUGGAAAAGGACUGGAGUGGAUUGCAACUGACAAUGGUGGCAGUAGCAAAUACUACUCUCAGUCAGUUCAAGGCCGCUUCACCAUCUCCAGAGACAAUACCAGACAGCAGCUGUAUCUGCAGAUGAACAGUCUGAGGACUGAAGACUCUGCUGUUUAUUACUGUGCUCGUGAUACACAGAGAUAG